GACGAACGCUGGCGGCGUGCUUAACACAUGCAAGUCGAACGGUAAGGCCCUUCGGGGUACACGAGUGGCGAACGGGUGAGUAACACGUGGGUGAUCUGCCCUGCACCUCGGGAUAAGCCUGGGAAACUGGGUCUAAUACCGGAUAGGACCCUGGGAUGCAUGUCCUGGGGUGGAAAGCUUUUGCGGUGUGGGAUGGGCCCGCGGCCUAUCAGCUUGUUGGUGGGGUGAUGGCCUACCAAGGCGACGACGGGUAGCCGGCCUGAGAGGGUAACCGGCCACACUGGGACUGAGAUACGGCCCAGACUCCUACGGGAGGCAGCAGGGGGGAAUAUUGCACAAUGGGCGCAAGCCUGAUGAAGCGACGCCGCGUGAGGGAUGACGGCCUUCGGGUUGUAAACCUCUUUCAGCACCGACGAAGCGCAAGUGACGGUAGGUGCAGAAGAAGGACCGGCCAACUACGUGCCAGCAGCCGCCGUAA
rnacentral:rRNA from 1 species